AAUACUUGAUGACGAGUGGCGCACGGGUGCGUAACGCGUAUGCAAUCUACCUUCAACUGAGGAUAGCUCGGAGAAAUCCGGAUUAAUACCUCAUAAUAUUCGAGAGUGGCAUCACUUUACCAAUUAAAGCUCAGGCGGUUGAAGAUGAGCAUGCGUAACAUUAGUUUGUUGGUGAGGUAAUGGCUCACCAAGACUACGAUGGUUUAGGGAUCUGAGAGGACUUAACCCCCACACUGGUACUGAGACACGGACCAGACUCC
rnacentral:rRNA from 1 species